CACUGAAUACAUAGGUGUGUGAAGCGAACGCGGCGAACUGAAACAUCUAAGUAGCUGCAGGAAAAGAAAUCAACCGAGAUUCCCAAAGUAGUGGCGAGCGAAAUGGGAAGAGCCUGUACGUGAUAGUCAGUCUGAUAGAAGAAUCCUCUGGAAAUAGGAGCCAUAGCGGGUGAUAGCCCCGUAUUCGAAAUCAGGUUGGUGGUACUAAGCGUACGACAAGUAGGGCGGGACACGAGAAAUCCUGUCUGAACAUGGGGGGACCAUCCUCCAAGGCUAAAUACUCGUAAUCGACCGAUAGUGAACCAGUACCGUGAGGGAAAGGCGAAAAGAACCCCGGGAGGGGAGUGAAAUAGAUCCUGAAACCGUGUGCAUACAAACAGUCGGAGCCUCUUUAUGGGGUGACGGCGUACCUUUUGUAUAAUGGGUCAGCGACUUACAUUCAGUGGCGAGGUUAACCAGAUUGGGGAGCCGUAGAGAAAUCGAGUCCGAACAGGGCGCCAGUCGCUGGGUGUAGACCCGAAACCAAGUGAUCUAUCCAUGGCCAGGUUGAAGGUGCGGUAACACGCACUGGAGGACCGAACCCACUAAUGUUGAAAAAUUAGGGGAUGAGCUGUGGAUAGGGGUGAAAGGCUAAACAAACUUGGAAAUAGCUGGUUCUCUCCGAAAACUAUUUAGGUAGUGCCUCAAGUAUCACCGACGGGGGUAGAGCACUGUUAUGGCUAGGGGGUCAUCGCGACUUACCAAACCAUUGCAAACUCCGAAUACCGUUGAGUGCGAGCUUGGGAGACAGACGUCGGGUGCUAACGUCCGGCGUCAAGAGGGAAACAACCCAGACCGCCAGCUAAGGUCCCAAAGAUUGGCUAAGUGGAAAACGAAGUGGGAAGGCUAAAACAGUCAGGAUGUUGGCUUAGAAGCAGCCAUCAUUUAAAGAAAGCGUAAUAGCUCACUGAUCGAGUCGUCCUGCGCGGAAGAUGUAACGGGGCUAAGCCAGUCACCGAAGCUGCGGAUAUGCGUAAGCAUAUGGUAGGAGAGCGUUCUGUAAGCCUGCGAAGGUGUCUUGUAAAGGAUGCUGGAGGUAUCAGAAGUGCGAAUGCUGACAUGAGUAGCGAUAAUGGGGGUGAAAAGCCUCCACGCCGUAAGCCCAAGGUUUCCUGUUCAACGUUCAUCGGAGCAGGGUGAGUCGGCCCCUAAGGCGAGGCAGAGAUGCGUAGCUGAUGGGAAGCAGGUUAAUAUUCCUGCACCGUCGUAUGAUGCGAUGGGGGGACGGAUCGCGGAAGGUUGUCCAACUGUUGGAAUAGUUGGUUUCUGGUUCAGAGAAGGUACUUAGGCAAAUCCGGGUACGUAAUUCAAGGGACUGGGACGAGCGCCUUUAUGGUGCGAAGCAAUCGGAAGUGGUUCCAAGAAAAGCCUCUAAGCUUCAGUCAUACGAGACCGUACCGCAAACCGACACAGGUGGGCGAGAUGAGUAUUCUAAGGCGCUUGAGAGAACUCGGGAGAAGGAACUCGGCAAAUUGGUACCGUAACUUCGGGAAAAGGUACGCCCCGGUAGCUUGACUGGCCUGCGCCAGAAGGGUGAAAGGGUUGCAAUAAACUGGUGGCUGCGACUGUUUAAUAAAAACACAGCACUCUGCAAACACGAAAGUGGACGUAUAGGGUGUGACGCCUGCCCGGUGCUGGAAGAUUAAAUGAUGGGGUGCAAGCUCUUGAUUGAAGUCCCAGUAAACGGCGGCCGUAACUAUAACGGUCCUAAGGUAGCGAAAUUCCUUGUCGGGUAAGUUCCGACCUGCACGAAUGGCGUAACGAUGGCCACACUGUCUCCUCCCGAGACUCAGCGAAGUUGAAGUGUUUGUGAUGAUGCAAUCUACCCGCGGCUAGACGGAAAGACCCCAUGAACCUUUACUGUAGCUUUGCAUUGGACUUUGAACCAAUCUGUGUAGGAUAGGUGGGAGGCUUUGAAGCGGGGACGCCAGUUC
rnacentral:rRNA from 1 species